UGGGGAAUUUUGCACAAUGGGGGAAACCCUGAUGCAGCGACGCCGCGUGAUUUAGAAGGCCUUCGGGUUGUAAAAAUCUUUUCUAUGGGAAGAAAAUGACAGUACCAUAGGAAUAAGGACCGGCUAAUUACAUGCCAGCAGCCGCGGUAAUACGUAAGGUCCGAGCGUUGUCCGGAAUCAUUGGGCGUAAAGGGUACGUAGGCGGGUAAGCAAGUUAGAAGUGAAAUCCUAUAGCUCAACUAUAGUAAGCUUUUUAAACUGCUCAUCUUGAGGUAUGGAAGGGAAAGUGGAAUUCCUAGUGUAGCGGUGAAAUGCGCAGAUAUUAGGAGGAAUACCGGUGGCGAAGGCGACUUUCUGGCCAUAACCUGACGCUGAGGUACGAAAGCGUGGGUAGCAAACAGG
rnacentral:rRNA from 1 species